rnacentral:rRNA from 1 species
GACGAACGCUGGCGGCGUGCCUAAUACAUGCAAGUAGAACGCUGAAGAGAGGAGCUUGCUCUUCUUGGAUGAGUUGCGAACGGGUGAGUAACGCGUAGGUAACCUGCCUUGUAGCGGGGGAUAACUAUUGGAAACGAUAGCUAAUACCGCAUAACAAUGGGUGACACAUGUCAUUUAUUUGAAAGGGGCAAUUGCUCCACUACAAGAUGGACCUGCGUUGUAUUAGCUAGUAGGUGAGGUAACGGCUCACCUAGGCGACGAUACAUAGCCGACCUGAGAGGGUGAUCGGCCACACUGGGACUGAGACACGGCCCAGACUCCUACGGGAGGCAGCAGUAGGGAAUCUUCGGCAAUGGGGGCAACCCUGACCGAGCAACGCCGCGUGAGUGAAGAAGGUUUUCGGAUCGUAAAGCUCUGUUGUAAGUCAAGAACGAGUGUGAGAGUGGAAAGUUCACACUG